AUAUUAGAAAAUCACACUGCUUAUUUGUAUAGAUAACAGUCCAUAUUUGUAGAACUUUAAAUCUUGUAUUAUAGGCUUUUUUUUUUCUUUUUUGAGACAGAGUCUUGCUCUGUCGCCAGGCUGGAGUGCGGUGGCGUGAUCUCUGCUCACUGCAACCUCCACGUCCAGGGUUCAAGCGAUUCUCCUGCCUCAGCCUCCCGAGCAGCUGGGACUGAAUACAGGUGAGCACCAUCACACCCGACUAAAUUUUGUAUUUUUAGUAGAGACGGGGUUUCACCAUGUUGGCCAGGAUGGUCUUGAUCUCUUGACCUCAUGGUCCACCCCCCUCAAUCUCCCAAAGUCCUGGGUUCACAGGCAGUAUUAUAGGCUUAAAAAAAACAAAUAAAAGAAAAACCCUUUCUGCCUUAAAGGUAGAAGCUACUGUUAGAAACUUUUGGAAAAGUGGAAGAUGAGUGGCCUUUGUAAUUAAACAUUACUAGGCUUGAAGCCCACAGCUAGCGGUGCGGCCUUGUGUGACAAUGCUUUUCCCUCCCCCCACCUCAUAUUCUUCAUUUAUUUCAGGAGAAUGCUUCUACUGAGAAAUUGUGGACACUCUAUAAAUGUUACCUUGGGAUAAUUCUAAACAUAUCACAUGAAUUGAUCACAAUGACGGAAUUUUUUUAAGUACUUGCGUGUAUGCGAGCAGCACUAGAAAUGCCAUAACAAUGGAAUCAUAUGUCCACAGUCCUACCUCUUUGAGCCAUGCAAUUUAAGAAGGUGGCAGAAAGGUAAUGAGAGGGUUGGUGCUUGUACAAGGGAUGGGAGAAGCAGGGCUUCGGAGGAUGAAAAGGAGUACCAAAGAGGAUGGCCAAGCCCUAUGGAGAUGACCUUUGCUGAUGUACAUUUUCCAGGGUACUGCUGUAGGAAGCCAAGCCAGUGUCUCAUUUCAGGGGGUUGAAUCAUCUAUGCUCUUCACACCUCAGUCAGAAUACAGCUGCUGCUUCUUUGCCACCCACGAUAAAAAGGAAAAUAUUUGUUUGAGCAAUCAGGGCGUUCAACUUCUUCCAGUGCCCUAGAAGUAACUGAAGCAAUGCAAUUAUUCUUGAAGAAGACAAAAGAAAGUGCUGCCAGACAUCUUAAAUUAAAGACGCAGUGCAAAACCUUACUGUUAUGUCUGAAUGCUGUACUCAAUGGCAAACUCACAUACUAAACAGAUUUAAAAACACUUAUGGUAGCAAAGUCGUUCACUUCUAUUCUUGAUCCAGCUGUUGGUGAAGUCUUGAAGAGACAGAAUUAUUCUCUUCAUAUUUUGACACUUGUAUUCAAAGUCUGUUUGAAUUAGCGGGUUUUGAAAAAUGACAUGUUUGCCCCUGUGGUUGAAGGAAAAAAAUCUAGGUCAAUGAUAACCUCACUUCAACCUUCUCACUUUGGAAUGGGUGCGUUCCCCCUCAAUGCUGAUGAGC
rnacentral:lncRNA from 1 species